rnacentral:lncRNA from 1 species
CUGCAUAUUCUAUUUAUUGUGUAUCUUUUUGCAUUGAGGGAGCAAUUGUUUUUCAUUUCCCCGUUGUAUUUGGCAUUAUUCUUAUUUUCAUUUUGCUGUUGUAUUUUGAAUUUGGCUAAUGCAUAUUCUAUUUCAUUUUGUUUUACUUCCACGGGAGGAGCAUUGCAACAUCCACGAAUGGUGAAAGACGAAUGGUGAAAGGUCUUUGUUUUCGGUGCAAGCUAAUUGGGACGAGAUGUUCCUUAUUUUCAGUUGAAUGACACGGUGAAAGAAGUAUCAAGAGUAAUCACAUUCAAUUACAUGGUGGGAAGCACCUUGCACCUAUGACUUAUUUGGUCAUGGGUUUGACACCAUGAGUGGAAUUGAGGAACCAAUAACUAUCCUCCUUUAAAGAAAAGAGUGAAUCUCAAGGUUAGUGAACACAAUUAAUGAAGUUGCAGAAAAAAGAGCAUGUUGAACCAGUUUUCUAAAUCAACUUCAUAUAAUUCCGUAGUGACUGGGAUUAUUCCACCAUUCGUUCCUCCAUUUUUUGGAUCACCACUCGAAGAAAUCCACCUAAGAGAUAGAGGACCGUGGAGAAAAUCUUACCACUCAAAGGGGUUUACCUACGAGAUACAUGACUAGAUAUUAGAAGUUUCAGUUCACUGAACUAACAAUCACAUUUGCAGUCAGUGGUGCUGAUUUUGUUGGUUGUUGAUUGUUAGAGCUGAUAAGUUGUUACAUCUUAUUUUUAGGAUUAAUUUUUAGAGUGUUUGGAUAAUGAGCUUAUUUUCUAUUUCUACUUAUUAUAAAUUCUUAAAUAAAAAAGGUGGGGUAGAGAUACUUUUUUAAAAAGAUCAUAUUUGUUCUCUAACAACUUAUUUAAAAAAAAUUAAGAUAUUUUAAAAAAAAAUUACCAAACACUUUGGAAGAGCUUAUAAGCUCUAAAACAUCUUAUAAGCUCAUUUUAACAUCUUAUAUGCUUAGCCAAACAUCCUCUUAUUUUUGUUACGUAUAUCUUAUAGAUACUAGAUUUUUGGCCAGUGCGAUGCACGGGAUUGGAGUAAAAUUAAUACAGA